rnacentral:antisense_RNA from 1 species
UCCUAUGGGCGGUCCGGGCGGGAGGGCGCAAGCCCUGCCGGUUCCUUGUUCCGGUCGACCAACCCGCUCGGUUCCGCCCGCCCCU